UUCCAGAAGCCGCCGCCUCAGCGCGGCCCCGCGCGCGCGGCGAUGUUUGUCACGAACGGAACCGCGGCCGCGUGGGUUUCCAAUGAACAGCCCCAAAACUGAGCGCAGGGCGGUUUGGACUGUAAAUCCUUUCGCCUACCGCUAACAGUGCUGCUUCUAGAGCAGUUGGAGAGUGAGCGUGCUGCUGCUCUUGUGUGCUAGGACUGGCAUCUGUGGCACGGUUUAUUCAAGAUGAUAAGCAGCAUUUGAAACCUCGACCUUGUGCUAAUGGAAGGUCUCAGCUGCUAGGAAUUUACAUCUCCUGUGGCAGGUGUUAAUUGUGGUGAGACUAAAGAGCAGCUCCACUGCAGUGCCUCUUUCUCUGUGUUGAUGGAGUGGUUGGAUCAGAGCAACUUGAAGAACAGGAACAAUCCAGCAGUGACCUCAUCAUAUAUAUACCUUAGGACUUGGGCAGAUAAAAAGAAGCACAGGACUACUUGAGCAGUCUUCCCACACCAGCCUCACUAUAAAACCUCGUGCGAGCAGCACACUGAAGGUAAAGUCUCUUCACGAGUACUACCAGUAGGGGGGAUUGUCUCCAGCAGAUCUAGUAAUAGCAGUGUGAUGAAGAGGCAGACAAAGGGGAUACUGUUAUUCAUGCUUUAUUUGGUACAAACAAUGCAUUUUAAUCUGCCUGCCAGAAAUUAAGCCCGAUUGAGUCAUAACUGUUGUGAGCUUGGAUGCCUGAAUUGUUCCUCGUGUCUGAGCUAGCCUUUUCUUCCCGUUUCUGCCAAUCUGAUUUGCAAUCCAAAGGGAUUUGUAGUGUUAACAUAAGUACAUUGAAUAGGGUUUGACUAAUUCAGUCUCGGUUGAAAAUGUGUGUGUAUGUAAUGGGAUAUUUCUGAGAAGAACCCUCUUGUAUUGUGCACUUCUGAGUACAAGGUUUGUUUGAAUGCUGCCGUAGUCUUAAUUGAACAUCAUAGCCUUGUCUUUGAAGCACUGAUCUAAUAAAGUCUAAUGCUGAGGAUAGGCAGCCAGUUAAAUGUGCAACAAGCACAAUCUCUCAAACCGGUCCAAUCACUCCAAUAGAGAUCAGGCUUUCAACCUCAGAUUUUUAAACAGUAGGAAAGAACCAAUAUUUUAAAAGUCCUUGUUGUUGUCAAGUGUCAGAAUUAAUAGACACCAAUAAAUGUUUUCUACAGUCGAAACAGGGGUAGGAACUGAUUGUGCUGAUUUAGCUUGUAACAAUGACCUGUAUGGUCUUUUAUUUUCAGUCCUUUAAUUCCUCUUCUGUGAUAUGUUUGGUUUGCCUAAUUAGACUGAAAGCACAUCAGGGUAAGAUCUGUGUCUGUGUUCUAUGUAAUUCCAAGUCAACAGAACUCUGCUUUGCACCAAGGUCUUUAUACAAUGAUAAAACAUAACUAUUUUCAAGAGCAAUUAGUGACACAAGCUUUGAGUGGGAAGUCAUAGCCUGGCCUGAGAAGAAGGAAUUCUUACUGCUCUUCCCUAUCUGCUAAUUAAUAUUUUCUUGAAAAUGAAGAAACUAAAGUUUUUGCAAACGUUAUAAACAUUCAGAACGUUUGUGUAGCUCAGGCAGACUGUGAAGCACAUAGAUAGUGAGCAGUGCAGUUACAUCUAUUUGAAAAUCAGAUCAGCUUUCUGAAUAGCUAUGUAUUUCAACAGAACCACAUGAGUUGGUACACAGUAGAUUAGUGAUUCUUUGACCUAGCUAUGCCAGAGUAAGCCAUCAGCCCCAGUUUGGCAAUGACUUCAGUGUGUGUAUAAUUUUAAGCACAUAAGUAAUUCCAGUCAGGCAGGCUUGUGUUUAAGUGCAUUGCUGACUAGGGGAUUUCUGGCUCCUAUAGCUGUUCAGAUCAUGGCUCCCAGAAGUCUUUCACCAAAUUUAACGGCAUUUUUUCUUUACUCCCUUGUGGUGGAAAGGUGGUUGUCUGCUUUGCUGUAUAAUCACGGGCAGAAAGUGUGCUUCAGCUACCAUCAUGUGAGAAUCUAUCACUUAUGCAUUGCAUAGAUAAUUUGGUGGGGAUAAACAGCCUAAGGGUAACUAAGAGGCUAAGCAGUGUAUAUUGCUAAAACUGAAACACACAGCAACCUAGCUAGUUGGCAGAAAUUUUACACAAGCUUUUCUAAAUUUGGGUGUAUAUUUCCAAAGUUCAGAAGCAGACAGAGCUCAAACUGGGCAAUGCAAAGAUGUGUUAGAAGUUGAAGGGUCCUUUCCAACUCAAAGCAUUCUAUAAUUCUAAAUGGAAUUGCUUUUGCAUGUGGAUUGGGAAAAAGAUAUGUACUCCCCUAAGAAUUAGUACAGUAAAUAGAUCUACAUCAGCUCCAUUACAAAUAAGAGAUAAAUAGAGCCCAGGACUGCAAAAGGGGAGAUACAGCAGCUUAACUCCUCAGGGAAAGGAAGGACUAUUUGGGACAAUGAUAGGUAGGGAAAUGUAUUUAUGUCUUUGUGUUCCUUGUCUUGAAUUUUUAAAAAUCUGUCCUUUGCUGUACUGCACACUAACCUAGAUGAGUGAGGGAGUUUCUCCCUUCCACUGAGCAGUGAUGCAUCAGAUCAUUUAUUUUUAAUCACUUGUGCUAGGAAAUGUCUACAGGCCGUCUUCCACUCCGUCCUUGACUGUGGAAGAAUCAGACUAUAAUAGGGAGAAAUUACUGUAUUAUGGUGCAGACCCUCCCUUGUAUUUUAAUGACAUCUAUCCCUUGAAGAACAGAUUGUCCAGCCUGGCCCAGGUCACAGUGCAAGAAUGACAAAACUAACAUUAAGCUUGCUCUGCCUAAGAGGCUGUGCUUUCACUGUUUACCUAACAAAAGUGCAUUAUACAAACUUACUUGCAGUUUCAUUAAAUGUAUAUCUCAUUCCUUCUUGUUUUGAAGCAUGCUUUGCCUGUACCAUUGAGGUUCUGGGACAUGAGCCCACUUUUACAACAGUCCUGUGCAGUGCUAGGUUUUCCAAACCACAGACCCUGCGUGCUUCUGGAAAGAAUGAAAUUACAUAAAAUUCUUUCUUGUCUUCUGGAACUUCUAAGUUACUCCAGCAUGAUCCUUCUAUGAGGCAAGCUGUUCCACAGUUGACAAAAAAGAAUUUCUUUCACGUCUUGCUUAAGCAUUUGAGACUGGUAACUUGUUGAAGUGGAAUUACAAGGGUCAUUGGUAGAUCAGUACAGGUAACUCUAAGUGUGUAAAGAAUUGCAUGGGCCUUUCAGUUAUCUGUAAUUAUAGAAGGCAACUUCAAAUCAGUGGUGACCUGCUUAGAUAAGCUCCUUAUGGCCUCAGGCACCACCCUCCUGCUACAUGCUAGCCAGCUUUGUCAUUCUUUCCUAGCUCUAGGCCAUACUUUCAGCACUUCCUCCAGGAAGCAGGAAAAGCCACGCAUAGUUGAGGAACAUUGUCAGCUGCUGUUGGUCUUCUCUGUUAGAAAAUCCACAGCUGCUCCCAGAUGCAGCCCUCACAUCUCUUGCAAAGCAGCAAGAAGUGGGAUGCAGUUUAUGGCAAGUUUUCGUGGCUCCUGUAAGAGAAAUGGGAGCGUGUAGCUUGGGUUUCACCAGGCAGUGCAGCCUGAUACUGCCCUCUUUCUUUCCUCGGUUGUGCAGUCCUGCAGUUAAGCCUUCUGUUCACUCUUUAGAGUUAGAUCAGGGUGAUCUGAAGGGAGGGGUGAAAGAGUCUGGGGCAUGGCUGAGACACUGCUCAUGGGGAGAGGUUGGACUGACAGGUGACACCAGUUGCCUUCUGAUACCUCAGGAGGAGAUCAUGUUCUUCAGAUCCAGAAACAAAUAGCGUCUCUGCUGAUUACCUUGUCCCAUUGCCAGGAUGAAUCUAUAACUAGUGAAUGGCUUAGUAAUAGGAGUUGCAGAAGGGCCCCAGGAGUCCAAGCAGGUGGUACAGCUAGUGAUGACAGGCUCAGUCUGCAAGAACAGCAUGUGUGCUGGAGAUAGCCAGGGAGAACUCCUUUUAGCAGGAGCUGGGCAGGCUCGCUGUCACAUGGGCACUGGCUCAGCAGUACAGUCUGAGCUAGGAACAAACUCUUCUGAACUUGCAAAUUGAACCUGAUUGUACAGCAUAUUGACUACCUUUCCUGUAUGUCUUCUCACAGCUGUUUCCCACCAAAUGGGAGAACAAGACUCUCCAGACUUCCUAAUCUGACAAUGCAUUUGAGAUUGGCACAAAAACUGGGCAUAGAUUGUUUGAAUACUUGAUAUGAAGUGCUCUCUUCUUGCUAAUGCUAUUUCUGUUACACUCUUCCUUCAGAGUGUGAUUUAAGAGGACUCUGAUAGAAAGGCAGUGCCGCUUGCUGACUCUGCAGUAGCUUGUGCAGCAUUACGAAUGCAGCUUAAUUCCCCUGUGAAAAGAUCCGACACAACCAAUCUCCAUGAACUCUUCUCUCUUGAUAGGAACACAAGUGGAGAGGUUGAUUCAUAAUAGUUAAGAAAUUGGGAUUAAAAGCAGACAGGCUUAGCCCAAACUGUUUUGCUCAGAGGCUGUCACUGCAGCUUAUAAUAUACAACUUAAUUACUAGAGAACAUCAUUUCUGCAAGUGAAAGCAGUUUCCAGGGCAGAGAAGCUGCUAUAAAUAUAGUUCUAAAUUCUACUUAAAUACAGGAGUUGAAACACUAUAUAAAAGAGCAAAAGUGCUGUCCUAUUUUUGGCAGCACUUCUCAAUAGUAAGGCCAUUGUCACCCACCUGAUCUCAUGUGUCAUCUAGAAACAUGAAGUGAGGAACAAGACAGAAGGUAUUUUCUCUUAAGUCCUCUUUCUUCAGCAAUGGCAUCUUUGGGUUAGGGCACAUGAAAAUAUGUUUCUAUAAGCAGUCCUAUUUUAUAUCUUAGAUACUGUGUUAACACAAGGCAAAAUUGCAGGAAACUCAUCUUUCCCCUUACUCUUAACUCUUUAUACUGUAUACAUGCUGUACAGUGGAGCUCAGGUUCAUAGUAUGGUUGUGAAUGGUGUGUGGUGUUUGUUUUUUGUCAUUCUGGCUACUUGGUCUAUAUUAAACUUUUUUUCAUCAUAGUAAUUGAAAUAGUAUUACUGAUGGAAUUUUAGCACUGAAUUUUCUUGGAUUUUUUCAAACAUUACAUUCCUGUUGGUGUUUAAGAAGCAUUUGAACAAUGCACUUAUUAAAGUUCUUGAAAUUUUGGUUAUCCCUGAAGUGGUUGGGCAACUAGACUCACUGAUCUUUGUAGGUACCUUCCAAAUGAACUAUUUCAAUUCAGCUGACUGAUGACUGGGAAAAUGUGUUCCAGCACAGCAACUGUGGACUUCCACUUUUUUUAAUCAGAGAGAGCAAGACUACUAAAGUUUGUCAUUUCUACAUUGUAUGUGCUAUGGGGAUACUGCUUUCAUUGCACAACUACAAAGUAAUGGUCAUUCUCUGCCUACAAACUCUGUUAACAGGAAAGUACUACAAUGUUCCAGCUCUGGAUUUGCUUUUUUGUCCUUUUUUGGUUUGUGCUUGUGGUUUGAGUUAUCAUUUGUUUAAUAUUUUAUCUCACAAUGUGAGGUUUCUUCAGCAUUUUGAGGUCUUACUGUCACAUUCCUGUGUAGCAGAUCUUUUUUUCAGUGCUUAUUGGAGUGUUUUGUUUCUGCCCUGGUCAACCAACAGUACUUAACAUCUUUGAAUAAAAGAACAUAAUACAGAAGUUUUAGCAGAUAAACAAAUCUAUGAGAAGUGAAAAAAAAAGUCAAGGUCACAAAGCUGAAUCCAUGGAAUUACGUAGUGUUGUGAAGCUGAAUGUCACUGUGGUUAAUUUUUUAGACUGUGGGCACCAGGGCAUAAUGCAUGCCUCUGAGUUUUAGGCACCUGUACAAUAAAUGUGGUGUAGAAUUACCCAAAGUAGCUCAAGCAGUAGAAGAAAGAUGCUUUAGCACUGGGUAGUCUGGUUACUUUUCAGUGUAAAAUAUCAGAGUUUUGUGCUCUUGACUGACUCACACUGCUUGAGACUGGAGAGGGGCUCUUGUUUUCUGCUGUUGCAUUGUAUUCAAACCAAGGCUCUCUGGGCUGAGAGGGUGAAGGUGCAGAAAUAAGUCAGUAAUUGAAAGAUUCAGACACUUGUGGGACAGAAGACUCUUGUUUGUGGUUUCAGCCCUAUUUCUGACAUACACAAUAUCUGUUAUAAUGGCUGUUAAGCACUUCUACUUAUUUCUGCCAGACUGAUUUUUUUCUAGGUAAAAUGUUGAUUAAAAUGGAGAAAAAAUGGAGUACUUAACCUUUUCCCAUUCCUCCUCAUCUCAGCUUUGCUAGUAUGCACCUGCAGGUCAUUAGGUGCAGUUAAGUAAAUGAACCGGCCGGUAGAAGUCGAUGUAGGCAUUUCCUAAGCUAGAACAUGUUUAGAUAGACUGUAACAUAAAUUAUCAAGAGUAAUAUAGUUAUUUGUUUUAAAAUCCAUUUCCCUGGGAGAGUGUACAGCAGGUCUUCCUGUGUGCUCCUGCUGCUUAGCUUUUGUGUUUAUUUAGAUCAUGAAGAAAGUAGCUUAUGGCUUGUAGGAGCUAAGCUCUACCUUUUCUACAGGUCGUGCUUUUGGUUUGCUUCCUUGAUUAAGAAAAGUUUUACUGAUUUAGCUUAGAAGUGCAUCUAACCAGGCUUAGUACACAAGCUUCAGUAGUCAUACAGGUAGUUAUUUCAGUUUAAGCCUAGCAAGAAUAACACAUACAAACAAGAAGCAGUGAGGGUCAUGCAGUCUUCUGUACAUUUAAAGUCCAUUGAUUUAAAUUAGUGAAAGCAUUUUUAUUAUGAGCAUUGCAUUGUCUGAGUCAAAUGCUAUCGACUGAAGAAGGAAAACUGACAGUAUUAGUACCUCACAAGUAGCAUGGGGUGCCCUAUUAGUAAUGCAGUAGUGAAGAACUGGGAAUUAAAUUUCCAGAGAGGCUGCUGCAAUUCUUCCAGCAAUUUUCUCUAGUAGAGAAUGGGAGUAAAACUAAAUUUGGUUUUGUCCAGAAGAAUUUGAAUUAUGCUGCUUACAUAGGAUCUCAAUAGCUAGAGGCUGCAACACAGCAGCUUAACACCCAUUAACUGAAAGCUAUUUGUAAGAGCUUCCUUCUCAAAUUUAACUCUGAAGUAACCAGAAGUCUACGGGUUUUCAUACAUUUAUUUACUAGAAUUCCUAUUACAGAUCACUGCCUUCUAAAACCACUUCUGGAAGAGCAGUCAGCAGACUGUUCUCCUUAGAGCUGUACUCAUUCACUACCUGUUUCAAAACAAGUCAGUGCCUGAACAUUGCUCUCUGGCAUCCGAGCUUUCUGCUUUCAUGUAUGUAAGUUACUGCACGUGGUAAUGUAAGGAUAAAACAGCAUAAUGCAAAGUCGGAAGGCUCUGCCCGCUAAGGGAGUGUGCACAAUACUUGGUUGGCAUACACAGCCUCAUAAGCUUUUCAUAUACUUUCUAAAUGGGCGCUUAAUUUCUAGCAUUGGAGUCAGUAUGUGAUUUCUAGUGCUGAUCAUUCCAGCAGCGUUGUUGAGCUGUUUUUGUACAGAAACACUACUGUAUGAAAGAAAACAGUGAUAUAAAACAUGCAUAAUUCAUGUGGUGUCUCCCCUCAGCCCAACAUAGCAGAAGUCACAGUUUUUUCUUGGAAGCAUUCUGUGUUGUUCCAAACAGCUAUAUUGCUGAGUCGAUUGUCUCCUAUUCCUAGCAUAGAAACCAUUAGCAACUAAUAUUGUAGUUUUUUCUCUCUCAAUUUUUUUUAAUCGAUUGGUCCAAUGUUUAGCUUGCAGCCAUCAUUAAAGUGCCAGUUAGAAAGCAUUACGUAAAGUAGGUGGCAACUGUUAAAUUCAGAAAAGGUAAUUGAAAAGGCCUCGAUACUGUUGUAACUGGACAAUGUACUCACAAAGUAAUUGGGAAAGAGUGCAUACAAGUUCGGUGUGUAUAAAGUUUUACAAUAGAUAGAGGAUUUGGUGUUUGGUUUUUUUGUAGCUUGUUUGCAUUCCCAUGAUACAUACCCCAAGAUUUCCUUAGCGUGUGCAAAGGAUGACAAGUGUCAGUACUUCAUACAACUAUAUUUAAUAAGUUAUUACAGAAAAAAAUAAAGUCCAAACUACAAAGUUUAAGCAGUUGUAAGCAAUAGCAGCAUUAAGCUCCAUGUUUAGUCACAGUACUGCAGUUCCAUACAAGCAUUAGUCCAAGCCAAAAAGGAAGAAGCCUUGUUAGAAUUACUAGCAAAACAAUCUAAGAGAACAUGUAAUAAAAGAUACAGUACAUUUAAAAUUAGUUGAAAAACAAGUACAGAGAUCUUAGCUGUGAAUGCGCUAAAAGUUAUGUCCAUUACUUUGACAGUAAAAGUACAAAUAUCUAAUACUUUAUACCCCAACAGAACUACAUCCAGGAAAAAAAAAAUAAAAGGAAUUAAACAAAAUGACCUCUUAUUAGCACCCUCAUUUUUACUUACUGCUAAACUUUUUCUCAUUUAUAUUUGAGUGUACCAGAAUUAUGUGAGCAAUGUGAUUUCUGACCAGCUACCCAUUUGGGGUACAGACAGUAGUGUCACUAACAUGAAUAUAAAAUACUCUGUGGUAUGACUGAACACUAUAGCAGCAGAGAUAAGAAGUUUGUUUAAAAAAGAAAAAGAGAGAUAAAAGGAAAGG